UCUUCGGGCAGCCGCAGCAGUCUGUGAGAAGUGCGGCGCAGAUAUGGCGGAGGGCCGCAGACGGAGGGCAGUGGAUGGCGUUGUGUGGCGCUGCGUGGACCGGCGCUGCCGAAUGACCGCAAGCAUCAGGAAAGGGUCGUUCUUUGAAGGGUCACACCUAGAGCUGCGUCAGCUUGUCUUGAUAGUAUAUUUUACCUCCCAGAGAAUGGCAGCUCAUCAGGUCGCCAAGGAAGCUGAGGUGUCGCCUAAGGCCGUGGUGGAUUGGAGUAACUUUCUCCGCGAGGUGAUGUCUGCUGACAUGCUCCGGCACCCGGCCCUUCUGGGCGGACCAAAUGGGUUCGUCCAGAUCGACGAAACACUGUUAGCCAGGGCCAAGCGCACAAGGAAUCAUCGAGCCCGGCCUGUAUCCGAAGUUUGGGUGUUCGGAAUGGUGGAUUCCGCCGGAGAAGCCCACCUGCAGGUUGUCCCUGAUCGGACCACCCAAACGCUGCUACCGAUCGUGCAGCAGCACGUCGUGCCCGGCAGCAUGAUCUGGCCAGACGGAUGGGGCGCCUAUAAUAACGGCGCCCUGCAGGCGGCUGGGUACCGUCACCAGGCGGUGCACCACCGCAUCCAGUUUGUGCGCCCGGAUGGUAAGUAUGAACAGGUCCGAGUCCAACAAUCUGAC